rnacentral:rRNA from 1 species
CAGCAGUGGGGAAUAUUGCACAAUGGGCGGAAGCCUGAUGCAGCAACGCCGCGUGCGGGAUGACGGCCUUCGGGUUGUAAACCGCUUUCGCCUGUGACGAAGCGUGAGUGACGGUAAUGGGUAAAGAAGCACCGGCUAACUACGUGCCAGCAGCCGCGGUGAUACGUAGGGUGCGAGCGUUGUCCGGAUUUAUUGGGCGUAAAGGGCUCGUAGGUGGUUGAUCGCGUCGGAAGUGUAAUCUUGGGGCUUAACCCUGAGCGUGCUUUCGAUACGGGUUGACUUGAGGGAGGUAGGGGAGAAUGGAAUUCCUGGUGGAGCGGUGGAAUGCGCAGAUAUCAGGA